AACUAAUCUCCUGGUGUUUGUGUAAGAAAGCUAGGACAAGUGUAGAUAAGGAAGGCAUUGGAAAGUAUCUGGCACUUUCUCCGACCUUUUCCUGGGCUGCCUUUAGUCUUACCCAUUGUAGAAUAUGCAUAUUUUCAUUAGGCUGAUUUUCUCACAGGUGAGGAUGAUAAGCGGUUCUCAGAGGUUGGAGGAGCUGCUGGAUUCAAUCUAAGCUGUUGGGUUGUCUUUCUGAAUAGCCAUGCAAACUUCUGUCAAGUUCUAGGGAGCUGCAGCUCGAGCAAUGACAUCUGAAAUCAACUCAAAAUGGAUUAAAGAACAUAAGAUCUGAAACUGUAAACUCCCAGAAGAAAACACAGAGGGACUGUGGCAGGAUGGAAAGCAACAGCAUCAGUGGCAACGGGAAUGAGUGCUGGAAGUGUUGGUGGCUGGCUGGCGGCGACCCUUGGUUCUUCUCCUGGUAGACACCUUCACACCUCCGGGGAGGCGGAACAAUGCAAUCAUCACUUUGAAAUCAAUUUGUUUCGAUCCGAACGUGACUUUCCAGGUGGAGAAGGGAGAGAAUGCUAUUUUGGCUGAACCUUGAGUGAUUGGUGGAAUUGGGGCACCUGCUGGCAUUCUUACAACCCACUGCUGCCUGUUUUUACCUGAGCUGGGAGUAUCAGCCUCGUGGUGAAUCCCAUGAAAACCUUCAGGCUCUGUUCUGCUCUGCUUCUCGCCAAGCUGAAAGGAGGGUCAGCUGGAGUUUCUUUCUCUUCUGGAGAUCUCAGGGGCAGAGGAAGUGGCACCAAAUAUGUGGACCAGAUGUCUUCAGAUAGAGGCCCUGCAUUUUGCUUGACAGGCAUUUGGAUUAUUUCCAGUUUGGGCCAUUAUGAAUAAAUCUACUAUGAAGACUUCUUGUGCAAGUGUUUCAGUAGACAUGUGCUUUCAUUCUUCUUGGAAGUAGGACUGCUGGAAUACAGGAUUACAAGACAUUCAGUCAUUCUUGUUCUGCAUAUAAGUCUGCAAAUGUCUGCUGAGUAAAUGCAUGGAUUAAUGACUGAGCA